GAUGAACGCUGGCGGCGUGCCUAAUACAUGCAAGUCGAGCGAACAGAUGAGGAGCUUGCUCCUCUGACGUUAGCGGCGGACGGGUGAGUAACACGUGGAUAACCUACCUAUAAGACUGGGAUAACUUCGGGAAACCGGAGCUAAUACCGGAUAAUAUAUUGAACCGCAUGGUUCAAUAGUGAAAGACGGUUUUGCUGUCACUUAUAGAUGGAUCCGCGCCGCAUUAGCUAGUUGGUAAGGUAACGGCUUACCAAGGCAACGAUGCGUAGCCGACCUGAGAGGGUGAUCGGCCAAACUGGAACUGAGACACGGUCCAGACUCCUACGGGAGGCAGCAGUAGGGAAUCUUCCGCAAUGGGCGAAAGCAUGACGGAGCAACGCCGCGUGAGUGAUGAAGGUCUUCGGAUCGUAAAACUCUGUUAUUAGGGAAGAACAAAUGUGUAAGUAACUAUGCACGUCUUGAAGGUACCUAAUCAGAAAGCCACGGCUAACUACGUG
rnacentral:rRNA from 1 species